UAGAAUAUAUUUUAUUUAGAAUUUGAACUUUGGGAGUUCAAGGAGUGUUUAGUCAUUGUUCUAA
rnacentral:tRNA from 1 species